UGGGGAAUAUUGCACAAUGGGCGCAAGCCUGAUGCAGCAACGCCGCUUGAGCGAAGACGGCGUUGGGGUUGUAAACAUGGCUUAGUAGGGAAGAAGGAAAGUGACGGUACCUGCAGAAAAAGCACCGCAUAAUUACGCA
rnacentral:rRNA from 1 species